AGUGAACGCUGGCGGCGUGCCUAACACAUGCAAGUCGAACGAUGACGGAGAGCUUGCUCUCUUGAUUAGUGGCGCACGGGUGAGUAUACCAUAGAUAAUGUACCCCUUAGUUCGGGAUAGCCACUGGAAACGGUGAUUAAUACCGGAUACUCCUUCUUGUUAUAAGACAAGUCGGGAAAGUUUUUUCGCUAAGGGAUCAGUCUAUGUCCUAUCAGCUAGUUGGUGAGGUAAUGGCUCACCAAGGCUAUGACAGGUAUCUGGUUUGAGAGGAUGAUCAGACACACUGGAACUGAGACACGGUCCAGACUCCUACGGGAGGCAGCAGUGAGGAAUAUUGCACAAUGGAGGAAACUCUGAUGCAGCAACGCCGCGUGGAGGAUGACGCAUUUCGGUGUGUAAACUCCUUUUAUUAGGGAAGAUAAUGACGGUACCUAAUGAAUAAGCACCGGCUAACUCCGUG
rnacentral:rRNA from 1 species